rnacentral:lncRNA from 1 species
GGGUGGUAGGAAUGUGAAAAUGAAUAUAAUGGCAUUAUGAAUAACGAGGCCCAAGUCGUUGUGAAAAUGAAUAUUUUGUCCAACAAAAUGCAUUACAAUAAAGGGAAUAAGUAUGAAUGAAAACAAUUUGUACUAGAAAAAAAUGAAAAGAAAAUAUCAAUCCGGAAAACUGUCUCCCCUCCUCCUCAGAAGAUCAAAUAAUCGCCUCUAUACAUAUUUAACAAAAUCCGCUUGGUAAUGUACUUAGCCGUGACC